GAUGAACGCUGGCGGCGUGCUUAACACAUGCAAGUCGAACGAAGCACUUUAGUUGAUCGCCUCGGGGCGAUUCUAAAGUGACUUAGUGGCGGACGGGAGAGUAACGCGUGGGUAACCUGCCUUGUACAGGGGGAUAACAGUUAGAAAUGACUGCUAAUACCGCAUAACCCGCUAAGCUCGCAUGACCUAGAAGGAAAAGAUUUAUCGGUACAAGAUGGACCCGCGUCGGAUUAGCUAGUUGGUGAGGUAACGGGUCACCAAGGCGACGAUCAGUAGCCGGCCUGAGAGGGUGACCGGCCACAUUGGGACUGAGACACGGCCCAAACUCCUACGGGAGGCAGCAGUGGGGAAUAUUGCACAAUGGGGGAAACCCUGAUGCAGCAACGCCGCGUGAGUGAAGAAGUAUUUCGGUAUGUAAAGCUCUAUCAGCAGGGAAGAAAAUGACGGUACCUGACUAAGAAGCCCCGGCUAACUACGUGCCAGCCGCCGCCGUAAUAC
rnacentral:rRNA from 1 species